CUGUUUUUUAUUAUUUUUUUUAUAAAAUAAAUACAAGAUAAUUCCUUCAUUUUUCUUUUCGGUCAAUACCACUCCCUUCCUCACGUUUCUUACCUUCCCACUACCAUUCAAAUUCUCCCUUUUUGCUAUCACUGCUACUUGUUUUCAUUCUUUUGUUUUCUUUACUUUUCAAUUGGCUUUUGGGUUGGUCUUGUUCUUGCGGCAUCUGUCAAGAUUAUUCUUUCUUUCUCUUGUUCUUUUCUUUUCUAUUUUGUUAAUUGAUUCUCCUUGUGAUGAAAUUUUUUUUAUUGUGGAAUCUUUCGUUUUAGGAAAAGAGCAUGUGGUGAUAGACGAUCCUCCAGCAAAUUAAGUUCUUAGAGGAGUUGCUAUAAGUUGCAGCAAGUGCUCGUUAUUGAUUUAGGGACUACUUUCUUGUGAAAAGAGUGAAUUUAAGUGGAAAUUUUUGUGCUAAAUCAAAGUUGUAAACGUUUAGUUUUGAUUCCGUUUGUAGGGUUCUAGGUGUUCGGUUGUGUGGAGGAUCAAUCUCGCUAUUAGGUAAACCUCCGACCUAGGAAUGGACGGUGACUCGGGAACUAGGGUUUCAUAAAUUCUUCAAUUAAGCACUACGAACUUUUUCAUUUGUUUUGAUCAUGGACAUUUCUGGACUGUUUUGGGUUUUUAUUUUUGGUUGGACAUUUUAAUUUUUGUUUUUGUUUAGUUCGUUAGGACAAUUUUUUAUACUCACUACGCGAAGGUUUUAUGAUUUAAGGAUGCUUAACCUAAGACAAUUAAAAUGAAUCACUUUUUUAUAUACAAAGAACUAUAAGGUAUUUCGCUGCAAGGUUAAUCAAAUUGUUCAAAAUGUUUUAGCACGCAAGUAUUUUCAAGUGAAUUGGUUUUGUUUUUAGAUACAAAAUUAAACCGUGGUUUCGAAAAGUCGCAGUGUUUUCCAAAAGAGUAAUUCAAUUGAAUUUUCCUUCCAUUGAAGUGGUUUUCAUCAGAUCAAACAUUUGUCUCUUUUUGCAUAAGCGUUACAACCUCUAGAAUCUGAUCAUAACGUGUACGCCGAGUGUGGGGUGUUACAGACAAUGCAAGUGGUGGCCUUGAUUUCAAUGGCAUUAGAGGGUGCUGGUGCUGGUGCUGCACUAUCAUUACCAGAUUUAGGGCUAUCACUAUCAGCAACAUCACCUGUGUUUUUAGGGCUAGGAGAAGGGAGUCAAAAACUUCAUCAGUGGCAGUUUGUGAAGGAGGGGAUGAGACCUCCUCAAGAGACUCAACCUCAAAAGCGUAUCCUUUGUUGGCGCUAGGGUUGUCGCUUUUACUAGGGCUAGGGGAAGAGGAGCUUGAAGUAGAUGGCGACUUCGAAGGUGAAGAUGCCUUGGAAGGGACUGGUGAAGGUGACGAUUCGACAGCAAAUGCCCCAACAAGAACCAUGGAAACAAAUGCAACAACAAAAAUAAGAUAUUGGCAUUCCAUCUUUCACUUUUGCUUUUUAAUAGUUUCUUUUUACUUGUUAUCUUUUUUUAUUAAAAGAUUGAUAUAUAUAUAUACACAAUAUGCGUGUGUAAGAGAAGUGCUUUUCUUAUGCACUAAAAUUUAACCUUUAACAUCUUAUAAUACUAUAUUAAGAUUUUGUUCUA